AGCGAACGCUGGCGGCAGGCCUAACACAUGCAAGUCGAACGAACCUUUCGGGGUUAGUGGCGGACGGGUGAGUAACACGUGGGAACGUGCCUUUAGGUUCGGAAUAACUCAGGGAAACUUGUGCUAAUACCGAAUGUGCCCUUCGGGGGAAAGAUUUAUCGCCUUUAGAGCGGCCCGCGUCUGAUUAGCUAGUUGGUUGAGGUAAUGGCUCACCAAGGCGACGAUCAGUAGCUGGUCUGAGAGGAUGAUCAGCCACAUUGGGACUGAGACACGGCCCAAACUCCUAUGUGAGGCAGCAGUGGGGAAUCUUGCGCAAUGGGCGAAAGCCUGACGCAGCCAUGCCGCGUGAAUGAUGAAGGUCUUAGGAUUGUAAAAUUCUUUCACCGGGGACGAUAAUGACGGUACCCGGAGAAGAAGCCCCGGCUAACUUCGUG
rnacentral:rRNA from 1 species